UACGGAGGGGGCUAGCGUUGUUCGGAAUUACUGGGCGUAAAGCGCGCGCAGGCGGUCUUCCAAGUCAGUGGUGAAAGCCUGGAGCUCAACUCCAGAACUGCCAUUGAAACUGUUAGACUUGAGUACGAGAGAGGUGAGUGGAAUUCCCAGUGUAGAGGUGAAAUUCGUAGAUAUUGGGAAGAACACCGGUGGCGAAGGCGGCUCACUGGCUCAUUACUGACGCUCAGGCGCGAUAGCGUGGGGAUCAAACAGG
rnacentral:rRNA from 1 species